GACGAACCGUCCAAACGUUAUUCGGUAUCACUGGGCUUAAAGAGUUCGUAGGCGGCCUGGUAGGUGAGAUGUGAAAUCCCACGGCUCAACCGUGGAACUGCGUUUCAAACCACCAGGCUCGAGGGAGAUAGAGGUGAGCGGAACAGAUGGUGGAGCGGUGAAAUGCGUUGAUAUCAUCUGGAACACCGGUGGCGAAAGCGGCUCACUGGAUCUCUUCUGACGCUGAGGAACGAAAGCUAGGGUAGCGAACGGG
rnacentral:rRNA from 1 species